rnacentral:rRNA from 1 species
UACAGAGGGGGGCAAGCGUUGUUCGGAAUUACUGGGCGUAAAGGGCGCGUAGGCGGCCUUCUAAGUCGAACGUGAAAUCCCCGGGCUCAACCCGGGAACUGCGUCCGAUACUGGAAGGCUUGAAUCCGGGAGAGGGAUGCGGAAUUCCAGGUGUAGCGGUGAAAUGCGUAGAUAUCUGGAGGAACACCGGUGGCGAAGGCGGCAUCCUGGACCGGCAUGACGCUGAGGCGCGAAAGCCAGGGGAGCAAAGCGGGAUUAAGAUGACCCUUGUAGUCCCAGAGC